GAUGAACGCUGACAGAAUGCUUAACACAUGCAAGUCAACUUGGACUUCGGUUUGGGUGGCGGACGGGUGAGUAACGCGUAAAGAACUUGCCUCACAGAUAGGGACAACAUUUGGAAACGAAUGCUAAUACCUGAUAUUAUGAUUUUAGGGCAUCCUAGAAUUAUGAAAGCUAUAUGCGCUGUGAGAGAGCUUUGCGUCCCAUUAGCUAGUUGGAGAGGUAACGGCUCACCAAGGCGAUGAUGGGUAGCCAGCCUGAGAGGGUGAUCGGCCACAAGGGGACUGAGACACGGCCCUUACUCCUACGGGAGGCAGCAGUGGGGAAUAUUGGACAAUGGACCAAGAGUCUGAUCCAGCAAUUCUGUGUGCACGAUGAAGUUUUUCGGAAUGUAAAGUGCUUUCAGUUGGGAAGAAAAAAAUGACGGUACCAACAGAAGAAGUGACGGCUAAAUACGUGCCAGCAGCCGCGGUAAUACGUAUGUCACAAGCGUUAUCCGGAUUUAUUGGGCGUAAAGCGCGUCUAGGUGGUUAUAUAAGUCUGAUGUGAAAAUGCAGGGCUCAACUCUGUAUUGCGUUGGAAACUGUGUAACUAGAGUACUGGAGAGGUAAGCGGAACUACAAGUGUAGAGGUGAAAUUCGUAGAUAUUUGUAGGAAUGCCGAUGGGGAAGCCAGCUUACUGGACAGAUACUGACGCUGAAGCGCGAAAGCGUGGGUAGCAAACAGG
rnacentral:rRNA from 1 species